AGCAUAUCAAUAAGCGGAGGAAAAGAAACCAACAGGGAUUGCCCUAGUAACGGCGAGUGAAGCGGCAACAGCUCAAAUUUGAAAUCUGGCCCCCGGGUCCGAGUUGUAAUUUGUAGAGGAUGCUUUUGGUGCGGUACCUUCCGAGUUCCCUGGAACGGGACGCCAUAGAGGGUGAGAGCCCCGUCUGGUUGGACGCCAAUCCUUUGUAAAGCUCCUUCGACGAGUCGAGUAGUUUGGGAAUGCUGCUCUAAAUGGGAGGUAUAUGUCUUCUAAAGCUAAAUAUUGGCCAGAGACCGAUAGCGCACAAGUAGAGUGAUCGAAAGAUGAAAAGCACUUUGAAAAGAGAGUUAAAAAGUACGUGAAAUUGUUGAAAGGGAAGCGCUCAUGACCAGACUUGGGCCCGGUUGAUCAUCCAGGGUUCUCCCUGGUGCACUCUUCCGGCCCAGGCCAGCAUCAGUUCGCUGUGGGGGAUAAAGGCUUCGGGAAUGUGGCUCCUCCGGGAGUGUUAUAGCCCGCUGCGUAAUACCCUGUGGCGGACUGAGGUUCGCGCAUCUGCAAGGAUGCUGGCGUAAUGGUCAUCAGCGACCCGUCUUGAAACACGGACCAAGGAGUCGUCUUCGUAUGCGAGUGUUCGGGUGUUAAACCCCUACGCGGAAUGAAAGUGAACGCAGGUGAGAGCUUCGGCGCAUCAUCGACCGAUCCUGAUGUUCUCGGAUGGAUUUGAGUAAGAGCAUACGGGGCCGGACCCGAAAGAAGGUGAACUAUGCCUGUAUAGGGUGAAGCCAGAGGAAACUCUGGUGGAGGCUCGCAGCGGUUCUGACGUGCAAAUCGAUCGUCAAAUAUGGGCAU
rnacentral:rRNA from 1 species